AUCUAUAGCCAUACCACCCUGAACACACCUGAUCUCAUCUAAUCUCAGAAGCUAAGCAGUGUCAGGCCUGGGUAGUACUUGGACGGGAGAAUUGUAUUUUAUUUCUAGACUAGUAUAUC
ensembl:rRNA 5S_rRNA 5S ribosomal RNA